GGCCGGGUGGUCUAGUGGUCAGGAGGUUAGCCGCUUAAGCUGAAGACGCGGGUACGAUUCCCGCCUCGGUCA